GAUGAACGCUAGCUACAGGCUUAACACAUGCAAGUCGAGCGACCGGCGCACGGGUUAUUAACACGUAUCCAACCUGCCCUUUCCUCUAGGAUAACCUUUCGCAAAAACGGUUCAUACCCUCUAUCAAGGAUGGGGAUGCGUUCCAUUAGGUUGUUGGGGCGGCAACGGCGCAACACGCAUUCUAGGGUUCGGGGUUUUGCGAGGAAGGCCACCCACAUUGGAACUGAGACCCGGUCCAAACUGCUACGGGAGGAAGGAGUGAGGAAUAUAGGUGAAUGGGCGGUAGCCUGAACCAGCCAAGUAGCGUGAAGGAUGAAGGGUUAUGGGUCGUAAACGUCGUUGAUAUAAGAAUAUGUAUUAGAUGAAGAAGGAUCGGCUAACUCCGUGCCAGCAGCCGCGGUAAUAC
rnacentral:rRNA from 1 species